UUAUGGCUCAGGAUGAACGCUAGCUACAGGCUUAACACAUGCAAGUCGAGGGGAAACGAUAUUGAAAGCUUGCUUCUUAGGCGUCGACCGGCGAAUGGGUGAGUAACGCGUAUCCAACCUGCCCCUGAGUAAGGGAUAGCCCAUCGAAAGAUGGAUUAAUACCUUAUGGUUUCCUUUGAAGGCAUCAGAUUAGGAAUAAAGAUUUAUCGCUGAGGGAUGGGGAUGCGUCUGAUUAGCUUGUUGGCGGGUAACGGCCCACCAAGGCGACGAUCAGUAGGGGUUCUGAGAGGAAGGUCCCCCACAUUGGUACUGAGACACGGACCAAACUCCUACGGGAGGCAGCAGUGAGGAAUAUUGGUCAAUGGGCGCAAGCCUGAACCAGCCAAGUAGCGUGCCAGGAUGACUGCCCUAUGGGUUGUAAACUGCUUUUAUACGGGGAUAAAGUCAGAGUCGUGACUCUGUUUGCAGGUACCGUAUGAAUAAGGACCGGCUAAUUCCGUGCCAGCCGCCGC
rnacentral:rRNA from 1 species